GUGACUGACGGCCCCCGAAGCCGGGCGAGGUGGCGGGGUGGCGGGGUGACGGGGCACGAGGCCGGGAUUCCAACACAGGACUCCGAAGAGGUGCGCCUAUGCUUGGUUGGGGCUGAGGUCACCAAGAGUCCUCUCAGAGGGACGUUACUACACGCGCUGGCGAAACCCAGGAGAAUUUAGAGUCGCGGUGCGAGGAUUACUAUCUGUGAAACGAGGGCUGCCUUUCCCGGCAGCCAGCUUUGUGCAGAGACGUCCCGGAGCCACGAGAGAGUAACGGCUAACCCGAGGGAGGGGGUGGCGAGGGUGAUUCCAGGCACUUUGUGGAAAGACGAGCUAUGGCUAAGGAAGAAUCCACUUUGAAGAGCAACCCCCGCCCCUGCCCGAUACGUUACUUCCGGGGCGGGGCGGGCAGAGGGGCCCGGAUGUGCCGCCGGUUUUUUCGUUUCUGAGGUGCCGGCGGUGUUCCUGGUCGCGUCAGCCUGCUGGCUUUUCGCUUUCCUGGACGCUUCAGGGCUCCGCGGCCUGCGCUGGACUGGAGGAUCCGCGUCACUCUCGCCCUUCUGCUUUCCGCGCUCUGACCCACUCCCGCCUCCUGAGGGCACGACUUGGAGGAGCGCGGGCGGCGGGGCGUGAGCGAGCAGCCUCUGCCGCCAUCUUAAGAGAAGGCGAGCGUGGGGUGCGCGUGGGCGCGAGCCGGCCUCCCGCGGCCCCGCCGCAGAGUGGCGCGGAGAGAAUGAUUGGAAGAGACAGGGAAUAACACAUUUGUAUCUGAACUACUUGAAGAAAAAUCUGAAGCCCUGAUUAUAUAUAUAGAUUGUGCAUUUCUAUAAUCUGCAGUCUGGAGAAAACAUCUCCCAAGUUCUGUUGGGCCAUUCUUCCUAUUGGAAGUAUACUAAUAGUAUCUUCUCACUGGAACAUGUCAUAGAUCUCACCCGCCCCACACACCAAUAUCACAGUAAUAAUACAUAAAACCUUCAUUUAAAUUGUUUUUGAAUGUGUAUAUCAAUGGUUACAGCAUAUGACUGAACUUUUUUCAUCCUUAAAAAUGUUUUUUUAAAGCAAUAUAUAACCACUAAUGAAGAAAAAUAAAGAUUACUGAUUGACGUAACA